rnacentral:rRNA from 1 species
GACAGAGGGUGCAAACGUUGUUCGGAAUUACUGGGCGUAAAGCGCGUGUAGGCGGCUAAGUAAGUCGGGCGUGAAAUCCCACGGCUCAACCGUGGAAGUGCACUCGAAACUGCAUAGCUAGAGUCCUGGAGAGGAGGGUGGAAUGCUUGGUGUAGAGGUGAAAUUCGUAGAUAUCAAGCGGAACACCGGUGGCGAAGGCGGCCUUCUGGACAGUGACUGACGCUGAGACGCGAAAAGCGUGGGGAGCAAACAGGG